rnacentral:rRNA from 1 species
UACGGAGGGGGCUAGCGUUGUUCGGAAUUACUGGGCGUAAAGCGCACGUAGGCGGCUUUGUAAGUUAGAGGUGAAAGCCCGGGGCUCAACUCCGGAAUUGCCUUUAAGACUGCAUCGCUAGAAUUGUGGAGAGGUAAGUGGAAUUCCGAGUGUAGAGGUGAAAUUCGUAGAUAUUCGGAAGAACACCAGUGGCGAAGGCGACUUACUGGACACAUAUUGACGCUGAGGGUGCGAAAAGCGUGGGGAGCAAA